CGUGAGGUCUGGCUCAUGUCGGUUCCUCUGGCCUCGUUUCACUGAGGACCAAAUCUGACUUCAAAAGUUAAAGUUAAAAACACUCGGUCCUUAAAGCCCUCGGCUCCUCAGGAAUUAUUCUGUCAGUCGUGAACCUGCCGACGAAAACCAGGAAACUAAGAAAAACACAUAAAAAACUUCAACAACACGACAAAAGAGUAACGGUCACUUUUGUAGGUCUUAGCUUUCAAAUGAGGUGUUACUCUGUUGUUCUCCAGUCCAGAAGCUUUUAGAUUUGGGUAAAGCUGGAGAUGAAGGCCCAACACUCGCGCCGCUCAUUCGCACGUUCCCGAUGAUGGUGCGAGUGCGUAGGGUGUCGCCCCGCCCCCUUUGUGCCCCUGAUCCACACGCCGGAGCACGUUACCCAUAAUUCUUUGCGGUAUAGACCAAAAAGGCGGGAAAAAUGGCUGCGUCUGUGGAUCCUGUGGUUUGCUGUUACUUUGAAAGAAGCAUAAAUACCUGAUGAAGCAUUACGGAGGUGCACACGGAGCUGCUCUCGUGUGACUCUCAGGUCAGUGAUGUUAAACUGUUUUAACUGUGGGAGUAAAUCACCGUCUUUAUUCUCUGAGAUUUAUCCAGGAAGUGGCUCCAACAUGGCUCAUUCUCAAUUAUGGGUUUUAUUUUGAAAACUUCACAAAUUUGAAGCUUUAUUUUGAAAACACUGGCUCUGUCCUGUAUUCAGAUUUCGUUGAUAGCUCCGCCCCCUCUGCAGGUGAGGGUGGGGCUGUCGGAUGGGCGUGUCCAGGUGCUGAGUCGGACUGAUGAAGACCUGGCCUGGAUGAUGAAGAAGCUCAUGGACUGUUUCCCCGACGACCGCGACACUCUGUCCAAUCAGCUGCUGAGCCGUUUGCUGAGAGUCCGAGCGGCCGAGCAGAGUCCAG
rnacentral:lncRNA from 1 species